rnacentral:tRNA from 1 species
GGGGUUGUAGCUCAGAGGUAGAGCACUCGCCUAGCACGUAUGAGGCCCUGGGUUCAAUCCUCAGCACCA